rnacentral:rRNA from 1 species
UAGGGAAUCUUCGGCAAUGGACGAAAGUCUGACCGAGCAACGCCGCGUGAGUGAAGAAGGUUUUCGGAUCGUAAAACUCUGUUGUUAGAGAAGAACAAGGACGUUAGUAACUGAACGUCCCCUGACGGUAUCUAACCAGAAAGCCACGGCUAACUACGUGCCAGCAGCCGCGGUAAUACGUAGGUGGCAAGCGUUGUCCGGAUUUAUUGGGCGUAAAGCGAGCGCAGGCGGUUUCUUAAGUCGGAUGUGAAAGCCCCCGGCUCAACCGGGGAGGGUCAUUGGAAACUGGGAGACUUGAGUGCAGAAGAGGAGAGUGGAAUUCCAUGUGUAGCGGUGAAAUGCGUAGAUAUAUGGAGGAACACCAGUGGCGAAGGCGGCUCUCUGGUCUGUAACUGACGCUGAGGCUCGAAAGCGUGGGGAGCAAACAGG